AAAAAAUUAGUUUAAAAAAAACCUUAGUAUGUCAAACUAAAAAUAUUAGUUUAAUCCAAUAUUUUUUA
rnacentral:tRNA from 1 species